UAAAGGAUGGGAAGUUUGAGGUAAUGGGGGGAUUUUGUGAGUGUUUGGAUUCGCUCAGGAUGAACGCUGGCGGCGUGCCUAAUACAUGCAAGUCGAGCGAACGGACGAGAAGCUUGCUUCUCUGAUGUUAGCGGCGGACGGGUGAGUAACACGUGGAUAACCUACCUAUAAGACUGGGAUAACUUCGGGAAACCGGAGCUAAUACCGGAUAAUAUUUUGAACCGCAUGGUUCAAAAGUGAAAGACGGUCUUGCUGUCACUUAUAGAUGGAUCCGCGCUGCAUUAGCUAGUUGGUAAGGUAACGGCUUACCAAGGCAACGAUGCAUAGCCGACCUGAGAGGGUGAUCGGCCACACUGGAACUGAGACACGGUCCAGACUCCUACGGGAGGCAGCAGUAGGGAAUCUUCCGCAAUGGGCGAAAGCCUGACGGAGCAACGCCGCGUGAGUGAUGAAGGUCUUCGGAUCGUAAAACUCUGUUAUUAGGGAAGAACAUAUGUGUAAGUAACUGUGCACAUCUUGACGGUACCUAAUCAGAAAGCCACGGCUAACUACGUGCCAGCAGCCGCGGUAAUACGUAGGUGGCAAGCGUUAUCCGGAAUUAUUGGGCGUAAAGCGCGCGUAGGCGGUUUUUUAAGUCUGAUGUGAAAGCCCACGGCUCAACCGUGGAGGGUCAUUGGAAACUGGAAAACUUGAGUGCAGAAGAGGAAAGUGGAAUUCCAUGUGUAGCGGUGAAAUGCGCAGAGAUAUGGAGGAACACCAGUGGCGAAGGCGACUUUCUGGUCUGUAACUGACGCUGAUGUGCGAAAGCGUGGGGAUCAAACAGGAUUAGAUACCCUGGUAGUCCACGCCGUAAACGAUGAGUGCUAAGUGUUAGGGGGUUUCCGCCCCUUAGUGCUGCAGCUAACGCAUUAAGCACUCCGCCUGGGGAGUACGACCGCAAGGUUGAAACUCAAAGGAAUUGACGGGGACCCGCACAAGCGGUGGAGCAUGUGGUUUAAUUCGAAGCAACGCGAAGAACCUUACCAAAUCUUGACAUCCUUUGACAACUCUAGAGAUAGAGCUUUCCCCUUCGGGGGACAAAGUGACAGGUGGUGCAUGGUUGUCGUCAGCUCGUGUCGUGAGAUGUUGGGUUAAGUCCCGCAACGAGCGCAACCCUUAAGCUUAGUUGCCAUCAUUAAGUUGGGCACUCUAAGUUGACUGCCGGUGACAAACCGGAGGAA
rnacentral:rRNA from 1 species